rnacentral:rRNA from 1 species
GACGAACGCUGGCGGCGUGCUUAACACAUGCAAGUCGAACGGAAAGGCCUGCUUUCCCUUGUGGAUUGCGGGUACUCGAGUGGCGAACGGGUGAGUAACACGUGAGUGAUCUGCCCCCAACUUGGGUAUAAGCCUGGGAAACUGGGUCUAAUUCCCGAUAGGACUGCAGGGUGGUGCCUGUGGUGGAAAACGAUUUUCUAGUGGUUGGGGAUGAGCUCGCGGCCUAUCAGCUUGUUGGUGGGGUAAUGGCCUACCAAGGCGGCGACGGGUAGCCGGCCUGAGAGGGUGGACGGCCACAUUGGGACUGAGAUACGACCCAGACUCCUACGGGAGGCAGCAGUGGGGAAUAUUGCACAAUGGGCGGAAGCCUGAUGCAGCGACGCCGCGUGGGGGAUGGCGGCCUUCGGGUUGUAAACUCCUUUCGACCGCGAGGAAGCCACCUGGUUGGAAGGGUGGUGACGGUAGUGGUAGAAGAAGCACCGGCUAACUACGUG